rnacentral:lncRNA from 1 species
AGUAGCUCUUGUUUCGAGAAUUUGGACAGCCACCACAUAUUAGUGACUUGCACUCUUAACUUUAUGCCUCAAGGGCGAGGAUUACGGGAACCCUUCAAGGUAUCUUGAUUUAUCACCUGUGGCGAUGGCAAAUAUGAAACACCUUGAUACCCUUCAAAUUAAACGUAUGGUGGAUGUGUACUCCACGUGGAUAACACGUCUGGAAAAUCCGACUUGCUUCCUUGGUCUUCAGUUCGUAGAAGUAGUAGAUUGCACGAAUCUCAAGAACCUGGAAUGGCUCGUUUUUGCUCCAAAUCUCAUCCACUUGCAUGUAUAUGGCUGCUCUAAAAUGACAAGAAUACUCGGUUUGAACAGAACGGAAACUACCCCAUUUGCAAAACUCACUGUUUUGCGUUUGAGCAAACUACCCCACUUGUGGAGAAUAUGCGAAAAUCCCUUGCCCGUUCCAUUUCUGAAGAAAAUCCUUAUAUCUGGAUGUCCAGUGCUCACUAGGCUGCCUCUCAACUCUAGCAGUGCUCAAACAAGUAAUCUCAUUAUUGAAGGAGAGGAAAAGUGGUGGAAUGGCUUAGAGUGGGAGGACCAAGCGGCCCGAAAUGCUUUUCUUCCCUGCUUCAGAUCCUGUAAGUGAGGAGGGGCUUCCCUGAACUGUCCAUUCACCAGUUUAAUUGGAUACAUCUUUUUAUUCCAAUAGCAUUUUAAGGCAAUGUAUUAUAGUCCGGCUAUGUACAUGAUGUCUGAACUUUAAUAAUUACAUGAUUGUCAAUAUGUUAUCACAUCAUAUUAUUAUCGCCAACAAAUCGUUCCAACAUGUUGAUGGUUCUGGUUAAUUUUACAACAAGAGGUCUCGAGGUAUGAAUUUUGACACAACAAGAGGUCUCGAUGUAAGUUUAAUUUGCUAAUGUUUCCAUGUUAUAAAUUUGGUAAUAUGAGAUGUUAUAUUGUUAGUAUAUUUCCCUUUAUUAAUCCAACCCAACUAAUGUAAUGAAGAAACAGUGUAAAAUUUAUUCUUUUGGGAUAAUGGAUAAAAUAUAAAUAAAAAAAAUCUAUUCAUUAAAAUAUGUCUAACCCAUUGCCAGAGAAUACAUGAGACAAAUAUAACAACUGUGGCCAUCCAAUUUCAAUAGGCAGACUAAUGACUUGUUCACAUGGAAUCAUUUCUUGUUCUUAUAUAAUUAAUAAUGCUGAAGCUAAAGAAAGUUGACCCAAUAAUUAUUAAUUUGAACAAGCAUGAUAAGCAAUAUCCAAUAUUGAAAUUGGCCAGAAUAGUUUAUAAACUAUAUCACUUUGUAUUAUUAAUUAAUUCAUUUUCUCUUUGAUUUCUUUUGUAUAAAAUUGAAAAAUAUUAAUACUUCUCGUUUCACUGAUUCAAUAUCAGAAGAUUCAGACCCAGAACCAACCAGUAGAGCUUUACUUAAUAAAAGAAGACUAUGAACUUGAUUACUCUCUGAAUUUUUGUAUUGAUGGAGUUUCUUUACUUUUUCAUGUGCUCUAAACACAAAUGGGAAGUUGUUAAUGUACAUCAAAUUCACUCAGAUAAUGAAGGGUAUAGUCACUGAUCUUUCGGCAAGAUAACAUGGAAUUUAUCUCUUUCUAUUUGGAAAACCUUUUAAAGAGGUUUCAAAUCUCUAACGCCAUCUCCAAUGCUAAAGGAGCUAAAUCCAAAUUUUCACCCUUCAAAAUACAACUAUUCAUGUAUUGCCCGAACUUAAACAGUUUUUUUCCCCCAACCCUCCAGACUCACCGUAGCCUUAUUAAAUUGUUUAAAAAUAGUUUAACUCUUUUAUUUUAAUAGUGAAACAUUCUUGAGCUAAUUUUUGUUUCUAACUUCAUGAUUUAUUUUUUCAAACAUUUUAACCUAAAAAAUUAAAAUUCGACAAACUUAAUUUUAUUUCAAUUAAAAUGAAAACUUGUAGGCCAUUAUCCCAUAUGGCUUGAAUUAUUUUUUGAUUUGGUGCCCAUCUCCUCUUGUCUUCUUUCAAUUAUUUUUUGACUUUGUGUCCAUCUCCUUUAUCUCUUUCAGCUUUUCCUUUCUUUUAUUCUCUUCAUUCCAUCUAUAUCUCCUCAUCUCUUCCCUGAAUUAUUAUCUGACAUGGUUCACAUCCCACUCUACAUAAAGCAUCAUCUUCUUGUGGUCUCAAAUUCACACCUCUUUGGGGUUUUAGGGCCAUAUUGAAAAGGAUUAAAAGGAGAAUGAACAAAAUUUUCAAAGUGAGAAAUGAAAAACAUUGAUUUUGGUGGGUGUAAACACGAAUUUCCUGCGACAAAUGAGACAAGAAUACAUGUACAAAAUAAUAUUGUAUUAAUGAAAUUUAGGGUUACAAUCUCUGUAUUGAAUCCUCUGAUUCGAUCUCCAAAGUGUUUAAAGAAAAUAUGUGUUUGAUACAAGGGUCGUAGAGACUUGAUCUUGAUCAAACGGGUAGCACGAAGCUUGUUUGGUGCUUGGAAUUUUUCUAUGGUGAAGGAACCGGCACGUAUUUGUUGUGCUUAGUGGCUCUUCCAAAGUAGGGUGAAGAAUGCAGAGAGUUUUCUGUUUCUUCUGAGUGCUAGGUUUUUUCCCCGACCUUCUUUCGUCUUGAGGCCUCCUAUUUAUAGGCUUUUGUAAGAUGCUUGACCUAAAUAACUUUCCCUAUUUAAAAUCUUGUUUUAUGGGAUUUUGAUUUGAUUUAAAUCAAUUCCCAUAAUCUGGCGAUUUAACCAGAUUAUCUUCAAUUGAUUGACCUAAUUAAUAUUUGAUUUAAAUCAAAGUCAAUCACAGAAGAUUCUUUCCUUUAAAUUUGUCUUCAUCUUGAACCGUUUGAUGCACUCCGUCGGAUGUCGCCAUGUGUCAUUUUUGACAACUAAUCCGAUUUUGAUGAGUCACACGCCACAUGGGCGAAUUACGGGGCCUACAAUUUAAUCCACCGAACCCUAAUUAUUUUCUUGUCCAAUGGAAUUUAUUGCACCAAAAUUUCUUUGUCUACAGUGGGUUAUUUAACAAAUGGAUGGGUAUUUAUAGAGUUUGGGAUGAAUUUUGGGGUUACAACUCAUUUUUACCAUUUAAUUAUUUUUUUUCCCGACUAGAUUUGAUUUUUGAACGUUGGAUCUAUUUUAUUUCCAUUGAAAUUUAAGAAUUAAUCAUCGCCUUUGAUCAUAUAGCCGUUGGAACAAUUUGAAAAAAGAAAACAAAAGUAAGUUUUGAUUGUGGCCAUUUGAUUUCAACGGCAAUAUUCAUAUUGCAAUCCACAUGCCCCCAGGGGUGGCUGACACAAUGGGUUCACAAAACUGAAAGGGCAGGAGGUUCCACCAUAUGUCAAGAUGAAAUCUAGAAGGUCCAAGCCCAAGCCAUGGAUUUGCGCCCAAGAUUUCUGGAGAUCAAUGUGCACGUGACAAAGGUCUCAUAAGAAAAGAAAUCAAGGAGGUUGAUGACGAUUCAGGAUUUUCCAAAAUGAGAGAAAAUCAAGCAGCCAUAAUAUCUCCGCUGACGUAAUCUACAAAUUUAGGGGCCUAGAAAGGAAAGAAUGUUUAAAGAGUUGACAUUUGGCCAUUCAAUGGCCAGCGCAUGGGCUAACGGACGCCCUAUAUAAACUUCACCAAACGAAGGCAGAAGACACGCAUCAUCAGACACACAAACCUAUUUUUCGUCUCGCACUUUUCUUUUCUUAGACUUAUUAGGAUUUUACAUUUUAAGCACCUAGUGUAACAAGUCCUUCCUUUCCUUAGUGUAAGUUUAAAUCCUUGCAAUUUACAUUACCUUGUCAUUUAAAUUCAAGUUUAUUUCAAUCGCUUUCUUUUUCAUUGUUAUUGAAUUUUCAUUAAGUUUAAAUUCAAGUUUAAUUUAGUUUACCAUUCUUAUCGUUCUUAAUUCAUUCUUGUUUAUUUAUCUCUUUGAUCUAUUUUAUCGCACUUCUCGUCUUUACGUUAUUUAUUUUAUGCACUUUACUUUAUGCAUUUAUCUUUAAAUUAUAUUUAAGUUUAAGCACCUUCACGUUACGCACUUGUUCUUCAUUUCAUUACGUUUCACCUUCAAUCUUCAUCUCCCCCUACUCCACAUCAUUUGGUUGCUCACAUAAAACCUUGACCCCGAGGUAGUGAAAGAACUUAGGCCGUGAGGAGGUUCCUUGCCCAGCCAAGCAAUCGUUUGAUUAGAAGUUAGAAGCGCGACAUAUCCAACAUACACUCGCAUUCCAUCCAAGCCAAAUUCGUGGCUUGGUGGUGGCAUGCCCGGCACUCGAAAAAGAAGGACCAAAAGUUCCUUUCCUCAGCCUAUCCGGCCAAAAAGAGGGAAACAGGUGCGAAGAGGAAUAAGAGAGAGAGAGAGAGAGAGAGAGAGAGAGAGAGAGAGAGAGAGAGAGAGAGAGAGAGAGAGAGAGAGAGAGAGGGAAGAGAUCAACACAUUGAAUGUGCAAAAAUGAAAAUGAUAUUGGUAUUACAAAUUAGUACCGCAAUUACCGAUUUGCUCCAGGACCGACAAAACCGACCCAUUCGAUUCGUCAGUUUUGUUUGUUUGUUUUUCAGAAUAAAAUGCCAAGCUAAGAUGCAAAUAUCCAUUUUCUCUACUUAUUCCUACCUUCCCUUGUUUAUAAAUGUCAAGUCCCAGUUUAACUUAUGAUCCAUGAUUGUAUGAUGAUUGUGAUUAUAUAUUAUUAUAUCAUAUAAAAUCCUAUGCCUUAUUCCAUUUUUCAUGUAAUGCAUUAUAAUUUUCUAAAAUCAUUUUCUUGAGGAAAAUGUUAAAUUUGUUAGAAAUGUUGAUUAUUUUGGGUCCAGCAUAUCAUAGUUUUGCUGAUGUUUACUCGCUAUAAGUUUGGUCUUAUGGAUAUUUUACAUGUUAUAUUCUUAGUAUGUUUCACCUUUAUUAAUCCAACUAAUGAAAUGAUGUAACAUUGGUGUGCCAAAAAUAAAUUUAUUAUUAGUCAUAGCUCUUCGUGUAAGGGACAUAGGAAAUUGUUUAUUUUGCCUAGAACAUGAAAACAAAUUGGUUGCUUGACUUCAUUAAAGUAUGUCUGGCCCAUUGUGAGAGGAUCAAUUGAUUUCUCAUGAGUCAUGGCCCAUAAGAACUCUAGUUUCGUUUCAGUGGUUCAUUAUGUCAGAAGAGGCACCCAGGGGAUAUUGGUCUAAUGGACUUGGUAUUUGGAAUGCAUGAUUGGUGAUGGAAUUCAUAAUGCUGUUGCAAUUUUCUCAAUUCUUAUUUAGAAGGUGACCAGGCUUUCUCCAAGGAAAUUGAUAUUAGAUAUGUAUGAUUUCAUAGUGGCCUUAUAAGGUUUUUGCUCUUGCUGCAAGUUGGUUUAUAAGUUUAUGGAGAGAGAUAUAGUCUUUCAGUGCCUGGUUGUCUGCUUGAUGCAUCGAAUGUUUGACAUGAACUUGAUUAUUCUUCUCUUAAAUUUUUGUUGUUGUUAUUGACAGAGUUUCUUUACUUUUUUUUUUUUUUCAUGUGCCCUAAAGAGAAAUGGUAAGUUGAUAAUGUACAUAACCUUCAUUUUGGGCAUUUGAGCACUAUUUUGUUUUUAAAGUACAUAACCUUCAUUUUGUACUGAUCAUUACAAAAAUGGCACCCAUUAUCGGUAGCCAUUUGUAGUGAUGAACCAGAGGCAGUUAUGAUAUCCUGCAGAACCAAUCUAGAGUCAUGAAUUGCUUAUUGUUCACAUUCAUCAAUGUCCCUUUUGAUUGACUAAGAGAUGCUCAAUGUUGUGGGAUGUGCAAUGAUUCUCAGAAAACUAAACUCCGAGUCGUAUCAUUGUUUUACAGAACGGAUGAAGCUUUGUGGCUAUAUGGCAGUGGAAUCUGGAAGUGUGCAGAAUUCGAGGACUUCUUCUACAAGUAUGUCAAAACGUAGGAUGGGAAUUGGGGCUACUUAUCACAAACAAGUGCAGGGUAGGGAAUGCGACUUCAAGUGGAAUGAACUCGAGAAAAUGAGUCGCAUCUAUGCUGAUUGGAUUGAAGAUAUCCCCAUUGUACAUGGCUCAUCAAGUAAAGCGGAGUGCUGAUCAAGUUUAGUUUGAUAUGUGUAAAGGAAGAGAUUAGUUCUGUAUUCUUCCUGUACAGAUAGGAAGUUUGUUGUGUUUUGGUAUUGUAUUAUUUAUAAAUUUUUGUUAUUAAAAUAAAUUAUGUUCAAAAGGCUUACGCCUCAAUGUUUCAAAGCUUACGCCUCGCAAAGUGCAACUAAAAAUGCAUCGCCUCUACUCCUCGCCUUUGAAAACAUUGCUCCAAGCAUAUAUAGUUUCGUACGUACAACUGAGAUUUCCCCAGUUGCCACUAAGACUGACUUUUGAAUUGAUAUCUUUGUCUAGCUAGAACUUAUAGUUUGAUACAAUAUACAUCUGAGUGGCCACAUAUUCUGAUAUGAUCUUGCAAUUUCAUCGUUUAUUGUGGCAGAAGAAAACUUAAAUUGGGAGGAAAGAAGUGCUGUUGGGCAUGCAUAUUAUAAAAGUGAGCUCCAUUUUCUCAUUUUCCCGCAUUGUCUUUCUGUGCAUUUAAGCAGCAUUCUGCACAUCGAGAGCACAAAUUGAAUUGCAUUUGGUGUGUCCAAGGAUACUUGUCCUGUUGACUGAUCAAUUUCAUUCUUUUUUAGAGGUAAUCUGCCGUAGCCUUUUGUCUAAUUUCCAUUUAAGAGCAGAUAGAAUAUCAUUUUGCUGUCUUCUCUUUUUCUGGGUAAUCAGAAAAUGUCUUCUUUUAUAGAGACAUUGUCCUUGCCAACGGUAUACAUACCCGUCAAUAUCAUGAUUAAUUAACGCUAAUUUCAUGGAGCUGUUUUGGAAUUUGCCAAGAGAGGGAAGAUCAUGAAAUCUUCUUCUCAGAUUAGUGAUUGAUUGUGAUUGGUUUUUAUGGUUUAGUCUCACGGCUAUACUAUUUCUUUUUAAAAAAAAUUAGAAAAACCGAGUAUAGCCGAGUGGCUAUAUUUAAAUAAAUUUGACAAAUCGAGUAUAGCCGCCCGGCGACACUACUUUUAAAAUAAAUUAGAAAACCCGAUUCUAAAGCUUAAUUUCAAUCCAAGGGCACCCAUAAUCAGCUUAUAGUCCUCCGGACAGCUUUAUAAUUUCAUUUCAUGGUUCUUAGGGCAUUCAUAUGAGUAAUCAUGCUUUUGUUGUGAUGUUGACCAUAGCAAACCUAAUGGCUAUAUAGCUUCGGGGUCUUGCAAAUUGGAGAUUAUUAGUGGCAAAAAGAAUACCAGCUAUAUUGGGGUCAAAAUCUCUACAGACCCUUUGGUUUCCCAAAUCAUGAAGGGUUGAACACUUUUUAUUCAUUUUUAACAAAACCAAGAGAGAACAAGGGAGAAAUUCUAUAUAUACUAAAAUCCAAUGCAACUAAACACUGUAGCUAAGCACAGUAUAAUGACGGAAAUGCCCCUCAUUUUGCUGCUGUUUUUGUUUUGUUUUUUCUUCAGCACAGUAAAUUGACGAAACUGCCCUUGACUAAACAGCUCCUUCUGUUUCCGUUUUUGCCCCUUCUCCUUCGUUGAUAACCCUUCGUUCGCUCACAGAAGCCCCCAUUUCCAGUUCGUUUUGAACCAGCUGGUUGGGGGGCAGCCAUGGAAGAUCUGCACAUGGAUGGGGAGCCGUCGAUCUUUGUUUGGGAGGUGCGCUGCAAAUCCAGCCGUCCUUUUGCUCUUCGUCUGAGAGAUUUCUGGUGGGAAGAUUUUCCAUCUUUUCUACAGCCUUCCACUCAGACUUCCAUCUCUCUUGCUUUCGAAUUUCUGCAUCCUUUGUCUCCAGGUAUGCAUCCCGUUUUCAUUUCAUGAAUUUUAUUGUUGGCUGGGAGAUUUUUCGUUUUUUGAAAUAGAAACAGGGUUUACAUUUCUCCCCUAUUAAUUUUGAGAUUUUUCAUUCCCCCUGUCGGCUGUCGGCUACCUCUACAUCCUUCUCACAGGCACUUCUAUCAUAGAUUGUGACUUUGAACUAUGAUUCACCAUCAUAACGGAAAACCAGGAAAUUCCCAGUUUCUAAAUGAUGAUCCUUCACAAAACCCUGUCAACCCUUAGAGAAGAACAAGCCAUUCUGUCUCUUCUUCCAAUUCCACAGCCCUCCCUUUCCCACUUGGGCCUCUAAGAGAACAUUUGCGAAGUGAUCCUCCGUUGAAGUUCUUGAUAAACACCGGUGAUAUAUGCUGCAAAAUUCAAUAGCCCUUGAAUUGAACAUCCUAUGAUGGGAUUGAACAUGCUUUUGAAUUGGUAAUGGCAGGUGACUCUUUGUGUGUGAAGAAAGGCUUGCGAUUGCCCUUGCUGCUGUUGUGGGACAGAGCCAGUGUAUAUGUACAGAAGUUGUGGUAUACAAUGUUCUCUUUCCCUUUCUUUAAUUUCAGUUUUUUUUUCUUUUAAUAGAAUUUCGUCAAAUAUUUUGGUUCUGGAUUUUUUGUGUUGAAGAAAUUUACAAUAAAGAUAUUUUAUGACGUUCUGUGUUCGUAAAUUAUAUAGGUUCUGCUGUAUGCUAAAUUUGCAGCAUCAAUGUUUUAAACAAUUAAGGCAUAGUGAUUAUCAUCCAUAGUUUUGACUUUGGUUUUUUCUUUUUAUUCCCUAGAAAUUAAUUUUAGUGAGAAAUUUGGAUUUCUAUUUCAGAAGGUUUGUUCUCUUCAGUUUUGCAUCUCCUCAACUUUUUAAUGGAUUAAUGAUUUGCUGAUGGGUUUCUAAGCAUAUUGUCAAAAUCUUUGAUUCCUUGACCAAAUUGAUUACGCUGCUGUGAUAAUCUGUUGUAGUCAAUAUUGUUGUUGUGGGAAAGUAAGCAUGCCAAUUUCAACAAUUUGUAAUGAUCUUGCUGCUGUAAUGGGUUGUUAAUUUGUUGUUGUAAUGAUAGGAUUAGAUGAUUACAAUAUCUUGGACAUGGUUUUCUUUUGUUUGUUGUAAAAUAAAACAUAAGCAGAAAACCAUGUUUAAAAAACAUCAAUUUCUAGGGUUAGGGUUUUCGUUUUAUUCUCAAAUGAUUUGAUGGGCAACACGAUUUGUUCAGGAUGACUCUGCAUAUAUAUAUUUGAUUAAUUGAGGGGUCGAGAUUAUAAAUGAGAACUCUCAGAUGAGUUUUUGAAAUUCUCUGUUUUUUACUUUACAGGAAAAAAUGGAAAAUUGUUAUUGAUUAUAUUAGUAUAAUUUGUUUAGGCACCAUCUUUCUAGGAUUUUAUUGCUUUCAUAAUUUAUUUUCUAUGUUUUUCUUUUUGAUUCAUUGCAACUGAGAUAUUCGAGUUAUCUCAGCCUUUGAUUGUUGCUUUUGAUAUGUGUGAAUGAUGUGCAAAUUCAUAAAAACAAUUGUAUUAGUUGAUCAAUCAAUUAUAAUGAACGAUGUUAAAAAAAAAAUAGUUAGUCUUGACCAAAAGUUGAUAUAUUAAAGCUAAUGAACUAAUCAACCAAAAACUGACGCAUAAAAGUGUGCUUUUUGUUUAGGCACCGUCUUUCUAAGAUUUUAUUGCUUUCAUAGUUUAUUUUCUAUGUUUUUCUUUUUGAUUCAUUGCAACUGAGAUAUUCGAGCUAUCUCAGCCUUUGAUUGUUGCUUUUGAUAUGUGUGAAUGAUGUGCAAAUUCAUAAAAACAAUUGUAUUAGUUCAUUAAUCAAUUAUAAUGAAUGAUGUUAAAAAAGAAAGUAGUUAGUCUUGACCAAAAGUUGAUAUAUUAAAGCUAAUGAAUUAAUCAACCAAAAAGUGAUGUAUAAAAGUGUGCUCAGGGACCAAUGUUGCUUUUUGUAUUUGAUUUUCGAAUCUAUUGGUGCUCAGGGACCAAUCCUGCUUCUGAUAUUUUAAAACAGGCCCAAAUUCUCCCUCUCCCAGUUUAUUCACUGUAUUAAAGUUGUUUGAUGCUCUCUACAGAUUAGUAAAGUUGGAAAUUUUUGCUAAUUUUACAUAAUUGUCAUGGCCAAACUGAGAAAGGGAUUAUCUCCUUAAGAAAUUCAAAGCAAAGAACAUAUUUUUAUCAUAAGCUGGUAAUUAGACUCAUGUUACAUGUUAGGCUGGUUUCAAGAGUCUGUAUCCUACCUAUGAACAUAAUCAAUAUCAAUAGUUUGCUAUGCUUCUGCUUAGAGACAUAUUCAUUUUUUGCUAAGAACUUCUGUUUGUUUUUGAUUGAUACUUGGUAUCUUCAUCCUUAGCCUUCUACUUUCGAAUCAUCAAAAUUUCUGCAGAUCUUUUGAUACAUUAAUCUUGAUUGGUGUAGAGGUUGGAUGUUUUGAUACCUAAUUUCUUUUUUUUUCUUUUUUUUUCGGUCAAAAUAGAAAUUGGCAAUUAUUUUAUCUUAGAUGGAAGGAUCAAAUAGAACUAACUUGCUUCUAUCUCCUUUCACUUUAGAUGGAAGGAUGUCUCUGCACACAUCCAGUAGCUUUGUGCAUGCUUUCCUUUUACCCAAUUUCAUUAUUUUCUUUUCCUUGAAAAAUUCUUCAGCCUCAACACAUUCUAUAUAUACUAAAACCCAAUGCAACUAAACACUGUAGCUAAGCACAGUGAAAUGGCGAAACUGCCUUCUAUUUUUACUGUUUUUCAAACUCAUUUUUCUCAUCAGCACAGUGAAAUUACGGUUUUACCCUUGGUUAAUUGCUUUGUGUUUUCCCCGUUUUGCCCCCCCUCUCCUUCGAUUGUAACGGCUUGCCUUUCGUUCUAUCAGAUGCUGGGUUCGCUUCUAACCAGGUUGGUUGGCCUGGUUGCGGGGCAAUGAUGGAAGAGGUCGGUCUACUGUUGGAGAUUAUCUGGAGGCUUCGAUUUUUAUAGGAGUGGCGUGCGUUGGUCUUCUUCUUCAGAUCGAACUCCAGCUUUCUCUCUGUUUCAGUCUCUUUCUCUCACUGAUCUGUAAGUGAAUUUUGCUUCAUCUUUCCAUUCGAUUUUUGUUGCUUUUCUUUUUCAUUUUUGUUGUUACUAAUAUCUUGGAUCUUAUUUGAUUAAACUAUAAGACCUGUUUUAAUUUGCUGCCCUAAAAGUCCAAAUCCCUAAUUUUCCUCAUAGUGGGUCUGUGUUAUUGAUUUGCAAAUUUUAUCCAAAUACUGAAAUUGAUUUAAUUGUGUUAUCAUUUUGAUGAAAUCAUGUUAAACAAUUUAGUUAUUAGAAUACUAUAUGAUUGCUUUUGAUAAGGUUUUCUGUUUGGUUAUUAAAAAUUAGUUGGUAAACCCUGAAAAUUGGUAUUUGGAUAUGCCGGUUCUUUUGUUACAGGGUUUAGGAUAGCUCUGUUUUGGUAAGCAGGAUAUGCUGCUAUUUGGGUUGCUCUGUUUAAAGAUAUGUUCGUUCUUUUACUACAUGGUUUUAAUUCAAAUUCGUUCUUAUACUGGUUUAUGGGACUGGGGAUUUGAAUUUGAUAAUUUUUGUUUUGGUAGGGGAAAGAAAAUUUGGGAGUGUGAUUCUAGGAACUGAUUGCAAUGUUUUAGCAUAGUUGACUUGAAGAAGACUGGUUUGGGAAAUAUGUGGGAUUUGAAAAUCUGACUUCUAAAUUGGAAUUAUGUUUGUGGACAUUAGUGAUGACGAGAAAGAAUUCAGAAAAGUUAAAAUUCAGAAUUUUUUUGUUUGUGGGUUUGAUUUACCAAGCAGAUUUUUGCGUUGAAUGGAAACUUAUUGAAAACUAAAAAAGUUUGUAUAUCCUAAUUUCAGAAUGCAGAGUUUGGUUCUUUUGUUUUUUUCCUUUUCAUGGGCUAAUAAUUUGGCCAUGCUUCUACUCUUUGCAGUUGCUAGGGACUGGAAUGGAUACGCAGGAUACAUCUCCUUCAGUGUUGCUAUUCUUUGACAAGGAAAGAUUUAUAUUUAAUGCUGGAGAGGUAAGGAACUCAAUUACAUACAUUUACAUCUGGUUAGUUUUGUAAUAUUAAAAGUAAGGUGAUGAUUCAAUUAUUGUCUAUGAAAUAGUAAUUAGAGAUCAAUGAUAAACCUGUUGUUAAGUAAUAUAGUGUCUCCUACUUUGCAACUCUCACUGCAGGGAUUGCAACGGUUCUGCACAGAGCAUAAGAUUAAGUUAUCAUAGGUAUAAGAUAUCUGAGAUCCUUACCCAUUAGGUAGUUAAGACCAAAAGUGGGGCUCUAUAUAUAUGCCUGGUGGUUAGCAAGAGAGAGUGAGUGGUUUUAAAGGGUGUCAAUGGCCUUUGAAUUUUACUUAAAUAAGAUUAAAGUUAUGUGCUUUCAAGUAUUUGUGAGCUCUCUGUAUCUGGGUUUUGAGCAAAAUGACUUUUUGAUAAAGCUUUGAUUUGCAGUGUAUAUUAAUGGAGUAAUAGGAACUGCUGACUGAUGCAGUUUUGCAUGUCCUUGGUUAAUGCAUUUAUGUUUGUUCUACAUAGAUGAUAAAUUUUUAGGAGAAAUGGAGACUUAAGGAGAGAAGUUAUGGAUCUGAUAAGGGUUUAGGGUUUAGGGUUUACUGUCUCUAAUUUUUGGAUCCAAAUGGAAUUUCUUUGAUUACAUAUGCUGUUUCUCCAAAGCACCAAUGAAUAAAGCAUUUAGAUUUGAUGGGUUUGAUGUGAAUGGUAUGAAUAAAAGCGUUUAGAUUUGAUGGGUUUGAUGUGAAUGGUAUGAAUCUCUCUCUCUCAUUUUGGUUUGGGAUUUUUGAUUUAUUUGUGAAUUAAUUUUGUUGGGUUCAAUAAAAUUAUCAGCCAGCUGCAGUUGACUUGGUGUAAAUCACGUAUUUGGUCUACUUAAGUUCUUUAUCGUUUCUGCCCAAAAAAAAAAAGUUCUUUAUGGUAAUUUAUGAAGCAUUUUGAUUCUGUUUUCUGGCGUUUUCCUUUGUUUCUCCAACUAAUAGAUGUAGGGGUUUUCUUUUAUUUUUGGUUCACCAAAUGGUUUCAUCUAUUCUGAUUUUCUAAUUUUUUAUAUGAGAUGUGCAGUUGUUGCGGCUCUUAAUCCUUCAAUCUUCUCCAUCUUACUUCGAAAGUUCACAUUACUUUGGUUGUUUUUGGGUCUUUCUGUUAACUACUUUGAACAUGCAUUUUAAGUUCAAUUUUUGUCGGCUUGGCAUUUCCCUUUUUUAAGAAUCUAUUUCAAUGAAGGCAUUCAAGUUAUAUUACUCAGUUAGUUGGAGUUUACAGCAAGACAUUCCAUUUGAGUUCAUUAAAUGUCAAACUGCAUAAAAUAAGUAAGAUUCAUGGUUUUAAAAAAAUGGGACAAGGUUUUGCAAUCAUUAAGGAUCUUAUUGUUAUUGGAAUAGCUCCAAGAGAUCAAGGUUCCAAAAAGGAGUAACAUACAUUUGGAAAGGUAUUCACCCAUGAUCCUACGGCUGUGUCUGCAAUUUUUGUUGGCCUGGCAUUUCCCUUUUUUCUAAUCAUGCCUACCAAAUGAUUGUUCUGAUAUGAGGAUUAAGGGUGCAAUAAAUUUUUUUUUUUAUACCACUGAAGUUGGGAUUUUUGAAGAAAAAUAUCUAUAUCUUCGUUUUGCAGUUUCAACCAUUUUGGAUUUCUAACUGUCUUUAUGAAGAUGUUGAUUCUUUCUUAUAUUCAUGUCACAAAUUAGUGGCAUGCUCCUCAAGAGUUUUUUUUUUUCAUUAUUAUUUUACGUGCUUAUUCUCCUUGAAUAUUUAAGCUCAAAAUAGUUAAACUGCCAUCUGAAAUUUUAUUAAUUGAGUUGUGUGUUUUCUGGAUAUUGUUAGCAAAGUAAAACAAAUGAACAAAUUUCCUUUUCUCUCCAUCUCUGCUUUCGCUUACCUAAAUUGCAUUUUUUUUUUUUGGCAUCCACAUAUUGUUUCACUUUAGUUUAUGAUUUUUUAAAGCAUGAACAUGAUGAACAUGACUUGCAAGACACCCUGCACUUCCUUUUUUUUCUUAGGUAACGCUCUGAUUUCAGUUCUGGGUUUCAUGAAUGUCUAAUCAUGUUUUCCUUUGUACUUGGAUUUUGCUGUGCAUUUCAUAUUAGUUUUUUGUUGUAUGGAUUCAAUUUAAGUUUCAUGCUUCAUGAUGUGUAAUGUUAGAAUUCUUUUGUAGUUAGACUGUUAGAAUCCUGAAAUUUAAGUAUUUGCUUAAAGUUGGUUGGUUGGUUGUAUUUUGAGGCUAUGUAAUUAUGUGGUUGUUGUACUUCAUUCUAAUUACUGUUUAUUUUAUUAUUAUUUUUUUUCAGUAUGAAUCACAGUUAGGCAGUCAUCCAAUUGCUUCAGGUAUGACUUAUGAAAAUUAAAAAGUUAUUCAAAUCUACAUGUUGUAUUGAAACUUUGGAAUUUUAUCUCAACAGAUUCAAUUGUCUCUCACCUCUCUGACGUAUAAGCAAUCACUGAAGCAAAGAAGCGAAGAUAACUUUCAGAUUAUUGUUUCUUUAUUUUGAUUUAUUGACUUUUUCUUUUUUCGUUUGUGUUGCCUCAAAAUUCCUUCACAAAAUUCGACUUGCCUCUACUACUACGUGUUUCCUGCUCUCUUCCUUAUGUUGUUUUCCCCCUGAUUUAAUCUCAGGCUUCCAUGAAAUUUUGAUUGUUUCAGGUGAGCUUGGGUACGAAAUCCAAAUACGAGAAGCAGUCGUUCGCCCAAAUUGUUUAACCAUUCUUCGCUUUAAAGGUAUAUUCAUGAUUGCCUCUCUAUUCCUUAUACUCUCUACUAUUUUUUUUGGUACUGAUUUCUUUAUUUUUGUAAUGUUUGUUUGCUCAUCAUUUCUGCAUUUUCAUGUUUGUAUUUUUCUUUUCUUCCACAACCUUUUCCUUCAGAUGAACACAGAAUUUAAAAUAUGUUUACUUUCAUAUUAUUCAUAUCUUAAAAGUAAAGAAAAACAUUGAGUUCUUAUUUAAUUUCGUUAUUUUGUGUUUCUUCGAUUGGAAAACCAUUUAUAACUUUCUUAUUAAAAUGUAAAAUUAUAUUAUUCCUAUUUAUACAUAAUUAGAUGUUUAUGAUUAUUGUCAUAACUCAAUUUUCCCCAUUCAUCAACAUUAACACUUGCUAUUUUCCCACUUUUUUAUAACAGAGUCAAGACCUCCAUCAAAGAGAAGAAAAGUCAUGAAGAAAUUGCAAAACAAAGCCCACCGAAUUAAACAACGUGCUGCUCAAAACUAUUCAAAUUUUGCUAUUUUAAUAGCUCCUUCCCACUAUUAACAUCUCAAUGUAUAUACAAACAUGUGUACUAUUUUAACAUAACAAGUAGCCUGUAAAAUAUGUGAUUUCCUUUUUUUCCACUUAUACUUCCUUAGUUAAGCAUAAUGCUACGAGUUAAAUCUCAUUGUAUAUAUAAACAAUUUUAUUUUGUUUACGUAAUUUCAAAACCCGCAGCAUCGCGCGGGCUUUAUUGCUAGUAAGAAAGAAAGUGGAAGGGGAAAGAGAGACAGCUACAUAAGAGAGAACAAGAGAAGAAAAAAUAAAGAGGAAAGAGAAGGAAAGAAUCGGAGAGGGGUGUGGAGAGGAAGAAAAUCAGUGAGAGAAAAAGGGAGGAGGGAAGAACAAAUAUAAAUGGGAAACAGUAAAAAAAUAUAUUUCGGCUGCAGAGGCGUAGAGAUGUGAUGGGCAAAAUGCUUUGGGUAGAGCAAAUGGCAAAAACAAACGAAGUAAAAUACACGUAUAAAACAUUUUGGGGCCCCUUUAAUUGGAGGGCUAUGGCCGCCGCCCUCGGGGCAGCCCUGAAAAUCAAAUAUAUAUCUCUUAAAAUGGAUGACAAAUUGAAAAUUGUUGUAAAGUUUUUGAGUGGAGCCCACACAUCUGGAAAUAAUGAAACAUCAUGAUGAAAGUAUUGUGGAAGUGGAAUCCACAUAUUGGAGGACAUGAUUGCACGUUUCCUUCUAAAAUGCCAUAGUUGACUUACAGCCUGUAAAGUCUUCCUGUAAGUGAAUUAUUGUUAGAAAGAUUAAGAAAUCUUUGGUGAAUUUCUCUUACAAUCUUGUGCGCAGAGCAAGCAAAGCAAUGGGUAGUUGCUUGUCAAUCUCCUUAUCAUGCGAUGCCAUUGUUUCACGCUGCUGGGAUUCCGUUUUUGGAAGAGUACGGUAUGUACGUAAGCUCCAAGAAAACCUUCAAGCUCUCACAACUUCUUUACAAGAACUCAAGUCUUUAAAGGAUGAUGUGCAGAGAGAGGUUGAGCUUGCAGAGCGGCAGCCGCGAUUAAAGCGGUUAGAGCAGGUAAAUAACUGGAUUUUAAGCGUGGAGGCUCUUGAGACUGAAAUGAACCAAGUUAUUGUAAGCCAUAGCACUCAAGAAAUUGAGAAAUUAUGCUGCGGAGGUUACUGCUCCAAGAACUACAGAUCCAGCUACAAGUAUGGAAAAAAAGUUGCUAGAAAGUUGGUGGAAGUGGAGGCUUUGAAAAGCAAGGGAAUUUUUGAAGAGGUGGCAGCAGAAAGCUUACCUACAGCUCUAGUGGAUGUGAUACCUAGUGAGCCAACAGUGGGCAUGGAGCCGAUUUUUGAUCAGGUUUGGAGACACGUUGAAGAUGAACAAGUGGGAAUGAUUGGCUUAUAUGGAAUGGGUGGGGUGGGGAAGACCACCCUCCUUACCCAGAUCCAUAACAACUUCAACCGCACUCGUAAUGAUUUCAAUCUUGUGAUCUGGAUUGUGGUAUCCAAGGGCCACAAAAUUGAAGUUAUUCAAGAUAAGAUUGGUGAAAAGAUUGGGCUGUCUAGUGGUGUAUGGAAGCUUAAACAGCAGCAUGAAAAAGCUGAAGACAUCUUCAGAAUCUUGAACACAAAGAAGUUUGUGUUAUUAAUGGAUGAUUUAUGGGAGCCAGUUGAAUUAACCAAAGUAGGGGUUCCAGCUCCUGACAGUCGGAACAAGUUCAAGAUAGUUUUCACAACUCGCUCUGAGGAGGUAUGUGGUCAUAUGGAUGCCCAGAAGAAGAUAAAGGUGGGGUGUUUGACUUGGGACAAAGCAUGGAACUUGUUUCAGAAGAAGGUUGGGAAACAAACACUUCUUCUUCAUCCAGAUAUCCCCAAGCUUGCUGAAAUUGUGGCGAACGAGUGUGGCGGUUUGCCACUGGCACUCAUCACAGUGGGCAGGGUCAUGGCCUGCAAGAAAACACCCCAAGAGUGGAAGCGUGCAGUUCAAGUCCUGAGAAGAUUUGCCUCCGAGUUUUCAGGAAUGGGAGAUAAGGUAUUCCCUCUUUUAAAAUUCAGUUACGAUAAUUUACCAAGUCAGAAAGUUAGAUCAUGUUUCUUAUACUGUGCUCUGUUUCCGGAAGAUUUUGUUAUACUUAAAGAUGACUUGGUAUAUUUUUGGAUGUGUGAAGAUAUAUUAGAUGAAUAUGGUCAUGUAGAGGAAGCCAAAAAUGAGAGUUACCAUAUCAUAGGAACUCUUCUUACCUCAUGUUUGUUGGAAGAUGAAGGAGAUUCAGUAAAAAUGCAUGAUGUAAUUCGUGACAUGGCAUUGUGGUUAGCUUGUGACCUUGGGAAAGAAGGUGAGAACAUCCUUGUGGAUACAGGUGCUUAUCAUGCACCAAAUGUUGCGAAAUGGAAUGCGAAAAGGGUUUCAUUGAUGGGUAGUGGUAUCAAAUCUCUAGAUGAAACACCAAGAUCUCCCAAUCUGUUGACCUUAUUUCUCAGAGGAAUUUUUUUAAAGAGGAUUGUGGAUGACUUCUUUGAUUUCAUGCCUACGCUACGAGUUCUGGAUUUGUCUGAAAAUGUCCUUAUAACUCAACUGCCAACUGGAGUUGCAAAUCUAGUUUCAUUACAACAUCUGAAUUUGUCCAAAACAGGCAUAAAAUGGUUGCCGGAGGAGUUAGCAGCAUGUGCACGCCUAAAGUAUUUGAACUUAGAGCAUACAUUUAAGCUUGAUUAUGUUCCACCAAAUUUAUUAUCAAGUUUUCCGCUGCUUGAAGUUUUGAGAAUACUAGAUUGUGGUUCUUCUGACCGAAUUUUUUUUUAUAGUGAGGAAACCAUGAUAGACGAACUGCAGGGUUUGAAACACCUUGACGUCUUGUCUUUGACAGUUGGAAGUAGCUCUUGUUUCGAGAAUUUGGACAGCCACCACAUAUUAGUGACUUGCACUCUAACUUUAUGCCUCAAGGGCGAGGAUUACGGGAACCCUUCAAGCUAUCUUGAUUUAUCACCUGUGGCGAUGGCAAAUAUGAAACACCUUGAUACCCUUCAAAUUAAACGUAUGGUGGGUGUGUACUCUACGUGGAUAACACGUCUGGAAAAUCCG